CCUACGGGUGGCAGCAGUGGGGAAUAUUGGUCAAUGGGCGAAAGCCUGAUCCAGCCAUGCCGCGUGUGUGAAGAAGGCCUUCGGGUUGUAAAGCACUUUCAGUGGGGAAGAAAGCCUUGGGGCUAAUACCCUCGAGGAAGGACAUCACCCACAGAAGAAGCACCGGCUAACUCCGUGCCAGCAGCCGCGGUAAUACGGAGGGUGCGAGCGUUAAUCGGAAUUACUGGGCGUAAAGCGCGCGUAGGCGGUCUGAUAAGCCGGUUGUGAAAGCCCCGGGCUCAACCUGGGAACGGCAUCCGGAACUGUCAGGCUAGAGUGCAGGAGAGGAAGGUAGAAUUCCCGGUGUAGCGGUGAAAUGCGUAGAGAUCGGGAGGAAUACCAGUGGCGAAGGUGGCCUUCUGGACUGACACUGACGCUGAGGUGCGAAAGCGUGGGUAGCAAACAGGAUUAGAUACCCUGGUAGUC
rnacentral:rRNA from 1 species